CAGCAGCCGCGGUAAUACGGAGGGUGCAAGCGUUAAUCGGAAUCACUGGGCGUAAAGCGCACGCAGGCGGUUUGUUAAGUCAGAUGUGAAAUCCCCGAGCUUAACUUGGGAACUGCAUUUGAAACUGGCAAGCUAGAGUCUUGUAGAGGGGGGUAGAAUUCCAGGUGUAGCGGUGAAAUGCGUAGAAAUCUGGAGGAAUACCGGUGGCGAAGGCGGCCCCCUGGACAAAGACUGACGCUCAGGUGCGAAAGCGUGGGGAGCAAACAGGAUUAGAUACCCGGGUAGUCCCUGUCUCUUAUAA
rnacentral:rRNA from 1 species